rnacentral:rRNA from 1 species
CAAUAGCGUAUAUUAAAGUUGUUGCAGUUAAAAAGCUCGUAGUUGGAUUUCUGGAUGGAGCGACCGGUCGGGCAUUAAUUUGUCUGCACUGGAGUCGGUUCCGCCCAUCCUCUUGGAAAGUGCGUCGGGCAUUAAGUUGUUUGGCGUAUGAUCCAAGUCGUUUACUGUGAAAAAAUUAGAGUGUUUAAAGCAGGCCUUCGCCUUGAAUACAUUAGCAUGGAAUAAUAAGAUAGGACUUUGGUCUAUUUUGUUGGUUUGCAGACCGAAGUAAUGAUUAAUAGGGAUAGUUGGGGGUAUUUAUAUUCCGAUGUCAGAGGUGAAAUUCUUAGAUUUUCGGAAGAUAAACUUAUGCGAAAGCAUUUACCAAGGAUGUUUUCAUUAA